rnacentral:rRNA from 1 species
CUACGGGACGCUGCAGUGGGGAAUAUUGGACAAUGGGGGAAACCCUGAUCCAGCAAUGCCGCGUGUGUGAAGAAGGCCUGCGGGUUGUAAAGCACUUUCGGUUGGGAGGACUGCUUCUAGCACUAAUAUUGUUGGAAGUUGACGUUACCUUCAGAAGAAGCACCGGCUAACUCCGUGCCAGCAGCCGCGGUAAUAGGGAGGGUGCAAGCGUUAAUCGGAAUUACUGGGCGUAAAGCGCGCGUAGGCGGCUAGAUCAGUCGGGUGUGAAAGCCCCGGGCUGAACCUGGGAACUGCAUCCGAUACUGUCUAGCUUGAGUACAGGAGAGGAGAGUGGAAUUCCAGAUGUAGGGGUGAAAUGCGUAGAUAUGUGGAGGAACACCAAUGGCGAAGGCAGCUCUCUGGCCUGAUACUGACGCUGAGGUGCGAAAGCGUGGGGAGCAAACAGGAUUAGAUACCCUCGUAGUC